CAGUCGCCGCGGGAAUACGUAGGUGGCAAGCGUUGUCCGGAAUUAUUGGGCGUAAAGCGCGCGCAGGUGGUUCCUUAAGUCUGAUGUGAAAGCCCCCGGCUCAACCGGGGAGGGUCAUUGGAAACUGGGGAACUUGAGUGCAGGAGAGGAAAGUGGAAUUCCACGUGUAGCGGUGAAAUGCGUAGAUAUGUGGAGGAACACCAGUGGCGAAGGCGACUUUCUGGCCUGUAACUGACACUGAGGCGCGAAAGCGUGGGGAGCAAACAGGAUUAGAUACCCCUGUAGUCCCUGUCUCUUAUAC
rnacentral:rRNA from 1 species